UACGAAGGGUGCUAGCGUUGUUCGGAAUUACUGGGCGUAAAGGGCGUGUAGGCGGACAUAUCAGUCAGGGGUGAAAUCCCGGGGCUCAACCCCGGAACUGCCUUUGAUACUGUAUGUCUAGAAUCUGUGAGGGGAUAGUGGAAUAUCAAGUGUAGAGGUGAAAUUCGUAGAUAUUUGAUGGAACACCAGUGGCGAAGGCGACUAUCUGGCACAGUAUUGACGCUGAGGCGCGAAAGCGUGGGGAGCAAACAGGAUUAGAUACCCCGGUAGUCC
rnacentral:rRNA from 1 species